GAUGAACGCUGGCGGCGUGCCUAAUACAUGCAAGUCGAGCGAACGGACGAGAAGCUUGCUUCUCUGAUGUUAGCGGCGGACGGGUGAGUAACACGUGGAUAACCUACCUAUAAGACUGGGAUAACUUCGGGAAACCGGAGCUAAUACCGGAUAAUAUUUUGAACCGCAUGGUUCAAAAGUGAAAGACGGUCUUGCUGUCACUUAUAGAUUGAUCCGCGCUGCAUUAGCUAGUUGGUAAGGUAACGGCUUACCAAGGCAACGAUGCAUAGCCGAACUGAGAGGGUGAUCGGCCACACUGGAACUGAGACACGGUCCAGACUCCUACGGGAGGCAGCAGUAGGGAAUCUUCCGCAAUGGGCGAAAGCCUGACGGAGCAACGCCGCGUGAGUGAUGAAGGUCUUCGGAUCGUAAAACUCUGUUAUUAGGGAAGAACAUAUGUGUAAGUAACUGUGCACAUCUUGACGGUACCUAAUCAGAAAGCCACGGCUAACUACGUG
rnacentral:rRNA from 1 species